CCUACGGGAGGCUGCAGUGAGGAAUAUUUGUCAAUGGACGAGAGUCUGAACCAGCCAAGUAGCGUGAAGGAUGACUGCCCUAUGGGUUGUAAACUUCUUUUAUAUGGGAAUAAAAUGUUCCACGUGUGGGAUUUUGUAUGUACCAUAUGAAUAAGGAUCGGCUAACUCCGUGCCAGCAGCCGCGGUCAUACGUAGGAUCCGAGCAUUAUCCGGAGUGACUGGGUGUAAAGAGUUGCGUAGGUGGCAUAGUAAGUAGCUAGUGAAAUCUGGUGGCUCAACCAUUCAGACUAUUAGCUAAACUGCUAAGCUCGAGACCGUUAGGGGUAACUGGAAUUUCUAGUGUAGGAGUGAAAUCCGUAGAUAUUAGAAGGAACACCGAUAGCGUAGGCAGGUUACUGGGACGGUUCUGACACUAAGGCACGAAAGCGUAGGGAGCAAACGGGAUUAGAUACCCCUGUAGUC
rnacentral:rRNA from 1 species